AAACAUUUUUACUAGUUAUCUUAUUAGUAGUAUGAUCUGCUCAAUGAAUAUUCAAUAGCCGCAAUUAGUGCUAAGGUAGCAUAAUCAUUUGUCUUUUAAAUGAAGACUAGAACAAAAGAUUAAACAUUUUAAUUUAUUUCUUUUUAAUAAUAUACAAAUUUACUCUAAAAGUAAAAAAGCUUUUAUAUAAAAGAAAGACGACAAGACCCUAUUGAACUUAACUUCAGUUAAACUGGGGCAGUUAAUUAAUUAUGAUUUUAAUAUAAGUAAAUAUUAAAAGAUCCAACUAAUUGAUAAUUCAGUUACCAUAGGGAUAACAGCAUAAUUAUUUUUUAAAGACCAUAUUGUAAAAAUAGAUUGUGACCUCGAUGUUGAAUUAAUAACCUAAUUAAAGCAAAAAUUAAAAAAAGGAAGUCUGUUCGACUUUUAAAAAAUUACAUGAUUUGAGUUCAGACCGGUGUAAGCCAGGUCGGUUUCUAUCUUCUAAAAAGUUUUUUGUAGUACGAAAGGACCUAAAAAUAUUUUAUGUUAUAUUGGCAGAACAAUGCAUUAGAAUUAGAAUCUAAUUAAGCUAUUAUUACCUUUAUAAUUAAUUACAUCUUAAUUACUAUCAGAAUUUUAGUAAGAGUAGCUUUUUAUACAAUUUUAGAGCGAAAAAUUCUAGGAUAUAUACAAAUCCGAAAAGGUCCUAACAAAGUAGGAUUUUUAGGGAUUCUCCAACCUUUUAGAGAUGCACUAAAACUUUUCAAUAAAAACUUGAUCUCAUCCGAAAAUAUAAACUUAACAUUAUCAUUUAUUACUCCAGCUUUAUCCUUAUUCAUUAGAAUCCUCUUAUUACCAAUUAUCUUAUUUAAUUCAUAUUCAUUAUAUGACAAUAAACAUAGAAU
rnacentral:rRNA from 1 species